UUAACUGCAAGUGAAGCUGCAGAGCAGCUCGACAGCCAAACACCCUACAGCUGUCAGCAGUGUCCAGCCCACAGUCCCUGGGGGUCUUGCAGGGUCAGCAGGCUCUGCAUAGUUGUGGGAAAUGGAAAAAUAGAAACUUCCACAGACACAGGAGGGUUUGAUCUGCAGCCUUGGGAGAAGCUUGGAUUGAUGCAACAUAAAAUACACAGACAUUAAGCAGAAAAAUCAUAAACCUAUGUUUCUACAAUUAAACAGGCAAUUCCACGAUUCAGAUGUUUAAGAUGGGUCAUCUAAAUGGCUUCCAUGAAGGACUUGUUUCUCUCUACUGAUUGGAAAGGGAGUUCAGAGAUCAAGAUCAGUUGCAGCUGUUUGUGGCAUAUCAAAUGAAGACCAAGGCUUAUACACAUCAAUUGCAGUGGGAAGCAUCCUCAAGGAUUUAAAAGUCAGUGAGGUCAAGCUGCAAAGGUUGAAGAAACUUAAGAAGCUCUUGAAAUCACUGUAAAAUUUAUCUCAAAGAGCUCUGGAGUAAAAACAUGGUACCAGAAGGAAAUCUUACUGCCAGUCACUCUACAAAGGCCAAAGACUGAAGGCUGUUGCUGCCCCAAUAUCCUGGUUUAGACCUCAUGGAAUUAUGGCAUCACUAAAGUUAGAGAAGAGCUCCAAGAUUGUUGACUUCAGACAUUAGUCCAACAACUCCAUGUUCACCACUAAACCUCACCCCCAAGCAACACAUUCACACACCUAUUGAACACUUCCAUGAAAGGAAUUUUAGGGGCAGAUUCAGUAGCAAUCACUUUUAUCUCUCCAUCUCAGAAACUUAGAAUAAUUUAUACAAGUAGCAGGCACAGUUAGAUGCUUGUUUACCAAUAACUGCCUCAAGAAUAUCUCUUCUGUAGAUUUAAUUCCAUAACUCUUGAAAAUGGGAGAAGAUGCCCAAAUAUUUAUUUGUAUCUACACAUAUUUGAGUGGAAUAUGCCUGGGUGGGAUUUGUAAUUAACCAAGCUGGAAAUUAACACAAAAUACAUCAAGUUUUUGAAUAGGAUUAGCCCCAGGAAAAGAGAACCCAACAACUGACAGUUACAUAUUGCAUUGUUUUUCAGCAUGGUUCUGUGUUGUGGUUCAAUCCCACCCAGAAACUCAACCCCACACAGCUGCUCAUUCACUCCCCACACGUGGGGUGAGGGUGGGAAUUGGAAGGGUAAAAAUGAGAAAAACUUAAGAUUUGAGAUAAAAACAAUUGAACAACAAUAAAAGAAAAAAUUAGAGAGAGAGAGAGAUAAAACCCAAGAAAGACAAGUGCAACAAAUAAAACCAAAUAUUCACCACCAAGUGACA